GGGUUCGAUUCCGGAGAGGGAGCCUGAGAAACGGCUACCANNNNCAAGGAAGGCAGCAGGCGCGCAAAUUACCCAAUCCCAAUACGGGGAGGUAGUGACAAUAAAUAACAAUAUGGGGCUCUUACGGGUCUCGUAAUUGGAAUGAGUACAAUUUAAAUCUCUUAACGAGGAACAAUUGGAGGGCAAGUCUGGUGCCAGCAGCCGCGGUAAUUCCAGCUCCAAUAGCGUAUAUUAAAGUUGUUGCAGUUAAAAAGCUCGUAGUUGAAUUUCGGAGUUUGUCGGUUGGUCGGGCUUCACUGUCCGCACUGGCCUGAUGGAUUCCUACCUUCUGAAUAACCAGCAUGCUAUUAAGUUAGUGCGUUGGGGAAGCAGAGCUAUUACCUUGAAAAAAUUAGAGUGCUUAAAGCAGGCUUAUGCUUGAAUAGAUUAGCAUGGAAUAAUAAAAUAGGACGGCAUGGUUCUAUUUUGUUGGUUUCUAGGAUCACCGUAAUGAUUAAUAGGGAUAGUUGGGGGCAUUAGUAUUCAAUUGUCAGAGGUGAAAUUCUUGGAUUUAUUGAAGACUAACUUCUGCGAAAGCAUUUGCCAAGGAUGUUUUCAUUAAUCAAGAACGAAAGUUAGGGGAUCGAAGACGAUCAGAUACCGUCGUAGUCUUAACCAUAAACUAUGCCGACUAGGGAUCGGACGAUGUUAAUUUUUUAAUGACUCGUUCGGCGCCUUACGGGAAACCAA
rnacentral:rRNA from 1 species